rnacentral:RNase_P_RNA from 2 species
CGAGUAAGCCAGAUGGUCGCUGCUGCAUAAAAGCAGGAGAGGAAAGUCCGAGCUCCAUAGGGCAGGGUGCUGGGUAACACCCAGUGAAGGCAACUUCAAGGAAAGUGCAACAGAGAUAUACCGCCUAAGUUUAUAGGAAUACAUUCUAACAAGUUAGAAUGCAUAAGUUCCACAAGCCAAAUCAUAGAUUUGGAGUGUCACUUAGGUAAGGGUGGAAAGGCGAGGUAAGAGCUCACCAGCGCACUGGCGACUGUGCGGCUAUGUAAACCCCAUCUGGAGCAAGAUCGAAUAGGAAGACGUAAGGGGCUGCCCGUCCCGUCUUCGGGUAAGAUCGCUUGAGUCUAUUGGUAACAAUAGACCUAGAUAGAUGACCGUCUAAUACAGAACUCGGCUUAUAGGUUUAGUCGCAUA